CGGGGUGAGUAACGCGUGAGCAAUCUGCCCAUAUCAGGGAAUAACAGUUAGAAAUGACUGCUAAUACCGCAUAGGACCACGGGGAGGCAUCUCUCUGAGGUGAAAGAUUUAUCGGACAUGGAUGAGCUCGCGUCCCAUUAGGUAGUUGGUGAGGUAACGGCCCACCAAGCCGACGAUGGGUAGCCGGCCUUAGAGGGUGAUCGGCCACAUUGGAACUGAGACACGGUCCAAACUCCUACGGAAGGCAGCAG
rnacentral:rRNA from 1 species